ACUGCAGCCAGGCGUGCGGAACUGAAGCGAAGGGCAAAAUUACUAAUAGAGCGAGAGAAGGCAGCAGCCAUAUUGGCAAUUCGAGAGCGAAAGUCGACCCAGUCCUCACCAAAUGCCACCACCAACCAGCACGAGCUGGAAAGGCAGGUACAUUUCCGGCAACAAGCCCACCGCCUUAUUGCUGAGGUGAGGGCCGACCUGGAGAAGCAGAGCGGAUAUAUAUCUGUAGAGAAAGACCUUGACAACAACACAAAGUUCCAACCCUUGAAACUAAAAAGGUUGUCAUUAACCAAACCCAACAUCAACUUGAGCCCCAUCUCGUCGCCUGGGCCCACAGAUACCACAGAAGAUGUGCCCACCCCUACGCCACCUCCACAUGAUGAAGAUGAAAAUUUAGAAAGCCAAA
rnacentral:lncRNA from 1 species